ensembl:lncRNA
AGGACCCCCCUGACGGCCGCCCCCAACAUCCGGCUCGUUUUGGGGUGGGGGGGUUUGGGGUCGUCCCACGGCAGCACUGUGGGGUGCAGGUGGGGGGGGGGCGGCCCUAUAGGCACCUCCAGGGACCCCGACCCCAAAUCGUCCGCCACCGACCCUAAAAGGGGGAGGGGGGGGUGGUUAGGGGGGCGCAGAAACCCCGACAGACCCCAAAUCCCACUGAGAAACCCUAUAGGGAUUUGGGAUCCUAUGGGGUGGGGAUGGGGUCAGCGAGUCCCUAUGGGGCCCCUAUGGGGUCCUAUGGGGUCAGUGUAUCCCUAUGGGGUCCCUAUGGGGUCCCUAUGGGGUCCUAUGGGGUCAGUGUGUCCCUAUGGGGUCAUAUGGUGUCAGUGUGUCCCUAUAGGUCCCUAUGGGGUCGGUGUAUCCCUAUGGGUCCCUAUGGGGUCCCUAUGGGGUCGGUGUGUCCCUAUAGGUCCCUAUGGGGUCGGUGUGUCCCUAUGGGUCCCUAUGGGGUCGGUGUGUCCCUAUGGGGUCCCUAUGGGGUCUCUAUGGGGUCAGUGUGUCCCUAUGGGGUCAGUGCAUCCCUAUGGGGUCUCUAUGGGGUCAGUGUGUCCCUAUGGGGUCAUAUGGGGUCAGUGUGUCCCUGUCAGUCCCUAUGGGGUCAGUGCAUCCCUAUGGGGUCUCUAUGGGGUCAGUGUGUCACUAUAGGUCCGUAUGGGUCCCUAUGGGGUC